rnacentral:rRNA from 1 species
AUUGAACGCUGGCGGCAGGCCUAACACAUGCAAGUCGAGCGAGCGGCGGACGGGUGAGAAAUGUAUGGGGACUGCCCGAUAGAGGGGGAUAACUACUGGAAACGGUGGCUAAUACCGCAUACUAUCGGAGAACCAAUAUGGGAUGAGGUAGUAGGUGGGGUAAAGGCGCACCUAGGCGACGAUCUCGAGCUGGUCAGAGAGGAUGAUCAGCCCCACUGGGACUAGGACACGGCCCAGACUCCUACGGAGGCAGCAGUGUGGAAUAUUGCACGAUUGGCUCAAGCCUGAUGCAGCCAUGCCGCGUGUAUGAAGAAGGCCUUAGGUUUGUAAAGUACUUUCAGCGGGGAGGCGUUACCCGCAGAAGAAGCACCGACUAACUCCGUGCCAGCAGCCGCGGUAAUAC